GGCCGGGAGGAUCUCGGAGGGAGUCUCAGCUCAGGGAAACCGAGGGCGUCCACCUGUGGGAGCCAGAGCUCCCCUCGUGGUACGCUUGCCGAACCCAAACUUCGCAGCCUGAGCCGCGGAAGCGCCGCCUAGACCACUGUGGAUCAUUUCCUUAAAUGAAAUGAAAAGUCAGACAUGUGGAAAUAAAAGCAUGAUAUAGAGGAAAAAAUAGAAAAUGAACAUUUUUC
rnacentral:lncRNA from 1 species